rnacentral:rRNA from 1 species
UACAGAGGUCUCAAGCGUUGUUCGGAUUCAUUGGGCGUAAAGAGCGUGUAGGCGGCCAGGUAGGUCUGCUGUGAAAACUCGAGGCUCAACCUCGAGAUGUCGGCGGAAACCAUCUGGCUAGAGUCCGGAAGAGGAGAAUGGAAUUCCCGGUGUAGCGGUGAAAUGCGCAGAUAUCGGGAAGAACACCCGUGGCGAAGGCGGUUCUCUGGGACGGUACUGACGCUGAGACGCGAAAGCGUGGGGAGCGAACAGG